CCUACGGGUGGCAGCAGUGAGGAAUAUUGGUCAAUGGGCGCGAGCCUGAACCAGCCAAGUAGCGUGAAUGAUGACUGCCCUACGGGUUGUAAACUUCUUUUAUAAAGGAGUAAAGUGAGGAACGUGUGCCUUUUUGUAUGUACUUUAUGAAUAAGGAUCGGCUAACUCAGUGCCGGCAGCGGCGGUAAUACGUAGUAUCCGAGCGUUAUCCGGAUUGAUUGGGUUUAAAGGGAGCGUAGAGGGGUUGUUAAGUCAGUUGUGAAAGUUUGCGGCUCAACCGUAAAAUUGCAAUUGAUACUGGCAGUCUUGAGUACAGUUGAGGUAGGUGGAAUUCGUGGUGUAGCGGUGAAAUGCUGAGAUAUCACGAAGAACUCCGAUUGCGAAGGCAGCUUACUAAACUGCCACUGACAUUGAUGCUCGAAAGUGUGGGUAUCAAACAGGAUUAGAUACCCCAGUAGUC
rnacentral:rRNA from 1 species